rnacentral:rRNA from 1 species
UACGGGGGGGGCAAGCGUUGUUCGGAAUUACUGGGCGUAAAGGGCUCGUAGGUGGCCAACUAAGUCAGACGUGAAAUCCCUCAGCUUAACUGGGGAACUGCGUCUGAUACUGGAUGGCUUGAGUUUGGGAGAGGGAUGCGGAAUUCCAGGUGUAGCGGUGAAAUGCGUAGAUAUCUGGAGGAACGACCGGUGGCGAAGGCGGCUCUCUGGGACGGUACUGACGCUGAGACGCGAAAGCGUGGGGAGCGAACAGG